rfam:Chlorocebus sabaeus isolate 1994-021 chromosome 8, whole genome shotgun sequence.
GUCGGCUAUGGUGACAUUUACCCUAAGACAUUACUAGGGAAAAUCGUGGGAGGCCUGUGCUGUAUUGCUGGGGUUCUGGUUAUUGCCCUUCCUAUCCCAAUUAUUGUGAACAAU